rnacentral:tRNA from 1 species
GGGAAUGGGCCAUGGCUUAGUGGUAGAGCAUCUACUUAGCAUGCAGAAGAUCCCACGUUCAAUCCCUAGUAUUUCCA